rnacentral:rRNA from 1 species
UGCGUAGGGUGCGAGCGUUAAUCGGAAUUACUGGGCGUAAAGCGUGCGCAGGCGGUUUUGUAAGACAGGCGUGAAAUCCCCGGGCUCAACCUGGGAAUUGCGCUUGUGACUGCAAGGCUAGAGUACGUCAGAGGGGGGUAGAAUUCCACGUGUAGCAGUGAAAUGCGUAGAGAUGUGGAGGAAUACCGAUGGCGAAGGCAGCCCCCUGGGACGUGACUGACGCUCAUGCACGAAAGCGUGGGGAGCGAACGGG